CCUACGGGUGGCUGCAGUAGGGAAUAUUAGAAAUGGACGAAAGUCUGAUCUAGCAACACCGCGUGUGCGAAGAAGGCCUUCGGGUUGUAAAGCACUUUUUGGAAGGAUUAGGAAGGAAUGUACUUCCAGAAUAAGUCUCGGCUAACUACGUGCCAGCAGCCGCGGUAACACGUAGGAGGCAAACGUUAUCCGGAUUUACUGGGCGUAAAGCGCGUGUAGGUGGUUCUGUAAGUAGGGCGUGAAAGCUCCUGGCUCAACUGGGAGAGGCCGUUCUAAACUGCAGAGCUAGAGGAUGGUAGAGGGAGGUGGAAUUCCGGGUGUAGCGGUGGAAUGCGCAGAUAUCCGGAGGAACACCAGUGGCGAAAGCGGCCUCCUGGACCAUUCCUGACACUCAGACGCGAAAGCUAGGGUAGCAAACGGGAUUAGAUACCCUAGUAGUC
rnacentral:rRNA from 1 species